AGUAUGGGAUGUCAGCAGAACAAAAAUUAAAAAGAUUAAUUUUCCUUUUGAUCUAAAACUUCCUUAGUUUGAGCAGUAGGUGCUACGAAAUUAUUUACAUAUCUUAGUAUCAUAGUUAAAUGUAAUGUGUUUAGGAGAGGAAAACAAAAGAUACAUUUGCUUUAAAUUCAUUAAGAAAUUUUGAAAUUCACUUUGUAGCCCAUGCUGAUAGAAUUGGGCUGUGUUGGUACAUUUGAAACACUGUUUAUGUUGCUUGAAACACUUAUUUAUUUAAUCGCCGAUGUGAUGAUGCCUAUGGCCGAGAUCAAAUAUAGCUAGAUUGGCUAGACUACUUAUUUGUUUACUUAAACUAUGGGAAGAAGCAUAUUAUUGUGUCAUUCUGUUGUGUGUGUAUGUGUAUAUACAAUAUAAAUAUAUAUAUAUAAAGUUAUUUUUUCUUUGGGUUAAUUUAUUAUAAGUUGUAACACUUGGCUAGUUUUGUUUGUAUAUGUCUUAAAAUGUUUUCUUAUGAUAUUUAAGUGACAGUUAAAGAGGUAUCAAGGUAACUUGUGUAGAACUAUUGUUUGAUAUAUUGUCAUGUUUGUUGUGAAUAUUUUUUCUUACUGCACAGUAGAAAAAUAAAAACAACUGAGUCUUUAUUUUAAUGUAACUCAGAUUGGGGAAAACAAACAGAGCUAAGGGAACAAAAUGACUGAGGGAGCACUCUCCCACGUCCAGUGCACUGAUCAUUUUAGUAUGUUUGUGCUUUGUACGGUUAUAUAUUUAAAACAAAAACAAAACAAAAAAAUACAAGGGUUCAUGCUCUUCCCUGGGUAAUAGAAACAGUUACUCGCUAUGCAUAAUCUAGUUGAUAGUUAAAUUUGCUAUUGCUUUUCUUGUCUUGUUAUAUAAAAUCUUUUCAAUACAAGUUUAGUCUUAAUGGUAAUAAAACGUUAUGGUUAUUUAUAACUUGUGCUUAUUUUGUGCAUUUUUUCCCAUGCUGAACCCACUAAGUGCAUGUAGACAGGACUGUUGUUUUCACACUGAAGAGGCAAACUUUGUAGUAGUCGUCGUAGUGGUAGACAGAUUACGAAUACCAAGGCUGCAUCAUAGACUCCUCCUUUAAAUUUUUUUUCUGUUUUUUUUUCCUCUUUUUGGUUUUGGAUAUAACACCAGAUUUCAGUUCAGAGAACACUCGUUCAACAUUCAGGGAAACCUUUUUACGUCACCUGCUAUGAAUGAACGCAGUUUGCUGGCAAAGUUUUGAUGCAUUUGCUAAGCAUUAGUGGGAAAGGCAUGCCAAAAUCUUCUCUAUAAUGUGUUCAAUCUUGGGGGAAAAAAAAAGGAAAAAAAAUCUUAGGACCAGGCAGUUGUAUACUUUAGUUAUUAAUGAAUGACUUCAUGUUAAUCUUGCUAGUUUAGAUUAUUUCCAAGGGAAAGUAUUGUAAAUGUUUUUUUUUCAUAAUCUUGUUGUGUUUGAAUUAUUUGUACUUUAUCUGUCCAGACAAUAAAUGAAAGUGUGUAGAA
rnacentral:lncRNA from 1 species